GACAGAGGGUGCAAACGUUGCUCGGAAUCACUGGGCGUAAAGGGCGUGUAGGCGGGAAGGAUAGUCAGAUGUGAAAUCCCUGGGCUCAACCCAGGAACUGCAUUUGAAACUCCCUUUCUUGAGUGUCGGAGAGGAAGGCGGAAUUCCUGGUGUAGAGGUGAAAUUCGUAGAUAUCAGGAGGAACACCGGUGGCGAAGGCGGCCUUCUGGACGAUAACUGACGCUGAGACGCGAAAGCGUGGGGAGCAAACAGG
rnacentral:rRNA from 1 species